rnacentral:pre_miRNA from 1 species
CAUAUACUCCCUCCGUCCCAAAAUUCUUGUCUUAGAUUUAUCUAGACACGGAUGUAUCUAAUACUAAAACGUGACUUGAUACAUCCGUAUUUAGACAAAUCUAAGACAAGAAUUUUGGGACGGAAGGAGUAGUAU